AUAACUGCUGCACACAUUCACAAAUUUUGCAGAUGUGAUUGUACCAGAUCCUGGAAACAGGAAAUUUCUAGCAAACAACACACAGAUGUUUCUGCAAAUGGAAGACAGGAGGCUAUUCUACAUGUGGAAUGGUUGAAGUUUCUGGACACCAAAUAGACAGAGGCCUCCUUUUCAAAAUGCAGCCUGCCUCAGACUUAAUUCUCUGCCUGCGUACUUCUCCUGGCUUGGAAUAAAGGGGAGAGAGAGAGAACAGAGAGGAAGAUGAUCUGCACUUUGCCUCCUGAAAUGGCCUGGCCUGUUGGUUUCUUCUUUUCCUAGCAUGCCUUCUCCAAAUGUCUUGAGAGACUGAGGAUCUCAUAAUGGAAGGUGUAAGUGAAAAGUGAAAUGGCAGGCUUAAUGUGAGCCAGGCUCUUCUGGAGUGUAUACAGUUUAGCCUACUAGGAUCCUUGAAAGGCUGUUGACCGGACCAAAAUGCCUGUCCACAUUUUAACAAGCGCAUCGAAGAAACCUACGUGGAGGAACUUCUUCCCCCCAAGAAGAAAUGCAACUCAUAAACUUUCCUGGAUCCAGUGUUUGGGAUGGGAGGGAUUUGGCAUUGUUUAUGCAUUAUGCCCCUUAUUCUGUUUUUCAUGCAGAAGUGAGAGGCUUAUCAGAUCCCGAUUAGAAAGCAGUGGGAGGUUUAUUUACUUUACUCUCUUACACAAUAAAUAUUUCAUUAAUUGGUGAAUAACUGCUAUGUUUGUUAAAGCUGCAAAGGGUAAUACUACUAAAUUGCUGCAAAAUACUUGUGAUAACUUUGGACUCCAGCAGCAACCUUAAACGCACACCCAUCUGAAAAAACACUAGCUGGUAAUGCUGCUGUAAAGCAUGCCUUCUUAAAAGGGGUACUUUCGAACUCCUUUCUUCCAAGUGUUCUUUUCUGAUUCUUACCCCUGCUCUUAGUAGCAGGAAAAGGGGUAAUCUGUGAAGAGCUGUGCGGCUUACUUAAAAUACCAUCUGAUGCAAUGGGUGGUGAACCUCUGCUGUAGAUGCCACUUAGAACUGGGUCAAGCAGCCAAAUUCAGUGGCUGGGAAAGAAACAGCAAAAAUUACUCCGCAGAGUGGGGAGAAUCUUCGAUUUGCAGCAAAAUGUAGCAGUUACAUUUUUGGAAGGUGAUCUUGGCCCAUUAAAUGUAUUACAGCUGCCCAAUCAGAAAAUUUCCAAGCAAUGUUCUUUUCAAGGGCACUGCCUUUCCAUACAAUUGGUUGUUUGCAACCUUUCCGGUUCCCUGUAUUCAUGGAUUUGUGUUCCCUUAGAGAUCCCAGGCGAGACAAUAUAGCCAUCUCUUGGGAGUUCAUGGCACCUGCAAGCAUUAGUCACAAAUGAAAUAACUAAAGUACAUUUUUCAUGCAGCUUGUCUGCAAUAAGCUUGUUUGCAGCAAGCUUAUUGACCUUAAAUAAAAGAGGUGGUUAUUCCUAUUGAAAGACUAAAUGUAUGAAUGAGGUAUCCAUAAUGAUGUCCUUCAGUAAUGGGAAAGUAGCAGCUGCCUUUGGUUCAUUGAUGUCAAAAUUAGCUAUGCUAUACCACUAGUGCAGUGGUUCCCAAACUUGGCAACUUUAAGACUUUAAGAGCUCUGCUGGCUGGAGAAUUCUAGGAGUUGAAGUCCACAAGUCUUAAAGUUGCCAAGUUUGGGAACCACUGCACUAGUGGGUAGUCCUGCCAUUGAACUGCUCUGUUUCCCUUUGCUUUCUAAACUUGCCUUAUGUCAGGUGGACCCCAAGAACAUGAUCUUUGAAAUGGGUU